rnacentral:rRNA from 1 species
AUUGAACGCUGGCGGCAUGCUUUACACAUGCAAGUCGAACGGUAACAGGCCGCAAGGUGCUGACGAGUGGCGAACGGGUGAGUAAUGCAUCGGAACGUGCCCAGUCGUGGGGGAUAACUGCUCGAAAGAGCAGCUAAUACCGCAUACGAUCUAUGGAUGAAAGCGGGGGACCGUAAGGCAUCGCGCGACUGGAGCGGCCGAUGUCAGAUUAGGUAGUUGGUGGGGUAAAGGCUCACCAAGGCAACGAUCUGUAGCUGGUCUGAGAGGACGACCAGCCACACUGGGACUGAGACACGGCCCAGACUCCUACGGGAGGCAGCAGUGGGGAAUUUUGGACAAUGGGCGCAAGCCUGGUCCAGCAAUGCCGCGUGCAGGAUGAAGGCCUUCGGGUUGUAAACUGCUUUUGUACGGAGCGAAAAGGCUUCCACUAAUACUGGGGGCUCAUGACGGUACCGUAAGAACAAGCACCGGCUAACUACGUGCCAGCCGCCGCGGUAAUAC